rnacentral:rRNA from 1 species
UCUUGGUCCAUUUAGAGGAAGUAAAAGUCGUAACAAGGUUUCCGUAGGUGAACCUGCGGAAGGAUCAUUAUCGAGUUUUGAACGGGUUGUUGCUGGCCUCAUACGGGGCAUGUGCACGCCUGACUUCAUCCACUCUUCAACCUCUGUGCACUUAUUGUAGGCUAGUGUGAAAGGUUGCAUUUAUUUGCGACUGGAAGCCUGUCUACGUUUUACUACAAACGCUUCAGUUAUAGAAUGUUUAUCUGCGUAUAACGCAUUUAUAUACAACUUUCAGCAACGGAUCUCUUGGCUCUCGCAUCGAUGAAGAACGCAGCGAAAUGCGAUAAGUAAUGUGAAUUGCAGAAUUCAGUGAAUCAUCGAAUCUUUGAACGCACCUUGCGCUCCCUGGUAUUCCGGGGAGCAUGCCUGUUUGAGUGUCAUGGAAUUCUCAACUUCUAAUACUUUUUUGUAUCAGAAGCUUGGAUUUGGAGGCUUGUGCUGGCUCUAACGAGUYCGGCUCCUCUUAAAUGAAUUAGCGUGAAUCACUAUGGAUCGCUUCGGUGUGAUAAUUAUCUGCGCCGUGGUCGUGAAGUAUUAAUCAAGUUCUCGCUUCUAAUCGUCCUUCACGGGACAAUUAACCCUGACUUUUGACCUCAAAUCAGGUA